UACGUAGGGUCGAGCGUUGUCCGGAGUUACUGGGCGUAAAGCGCAUGCAGGCGGCUCAUUACGCAUGGCGUGAAAGCCCCCGGCUCAACCGGGGAGGGUCGUCGUGAACGGGUGAGCUUGAGGGUAUCAGGGGCUGGUGGAAUUCCCGGUGUAGUGGUGAAAUGCGUAGAGAUCGGGAGGAACACCUGUGGCGAAGGCGGCCAGCUGGGAUACACCUGACGCUGAGAUGCGAAGGCGUGGGGAGCGAACGGGAUUAGAUACCCGCGUAGUCCCU
rnacentral:rRNA from 1 species